CCCCCAAGGUCACUGACAUGCGAACAAAUCAUUUUUAUUCGUGAAAAAAUGCCAAAUUUACCAAACGUAAUGCUUAGAUAAGGCCAACGUAUAGUUUACUUAGGCAAACAGCUCGGGCGCGCUGCGUAUUAGAUGAGUGGUUUGAUUUGCAAUUCAAAAUCUGUUGACAACCUCGUUUUCACAUUGUCAUUUUAAAUUUUGGAAGUUGUUUCACAAUCGUCACAAUAGGGCCAUUUAUACGAGCAAAAAUAAGUGGUUUAAAUACGUCGCGAAUGACUCGUAUAUAAAAUACUAGGUUGCAUAUAGUUAGUUAUUGGUUAGUAGGUAAUAUUUAAUAUUGCAUGUUG